rnacentral:rRNA from 1 species
CCUACGGGGUGCAGCAGUGAGGAAUAUUGGUCAAUGGCCGGGAGGCUGAACCAGCCAAGCCGCGUGAGGGAAGACGGUCCUACGGGUUGUAAACCUCUUUUGUCAGGGAGCAAGGUGCAGGUCGGGACCUGCUGUGAGAGUACCUGAAGAAAAAGCCUCGGCUAACUCCGUGCCAGCAUCCGCGGUAAUACGGAGGAUGCGAGCGUUAUCCGGAUGUAUUGAGUUUAAAGGGUGCGCAGGCGGAGGCACAAGUCAGCGGGAAAAUCGCGGGGCUCAACCCCGCUCCGCCGUUGAAACUGUGACCCUGGAGUGCGCGAAGGGUAGGCGGAAUGCGUGGUGUAGCGGUGAAAUGCAUAGAUAUCACGCAGAACUCCGAUCGCGAAGGCAGCCUACCGGCGCGCAACUGACGCUCAUGCACGAAAGCGUGGGUAUCGAACAGGAUUAGAUACCCCUGUAGUC